GUUGGUCCCGGUGCAACACCUCCUGCCCACUCCCUCACAGGAAUGAAAUGCUCUCAGAGACCCUGAGUACCUGCCACGCCCAGCCCUCCUGGGCAGAAAUACCACUAUCCUCCUGAUGGACAUGGAGUCCUCCUGCAACUUCUCCAUGGCUGCCCACCUGUGCAUAAGGGCAGCCUGCAGGCUUCGGUGACCAUCAUCCCAACACUAAAUUCCUUGUCUACGCUGCUGAUCAUCAGCUGCAUCUAUGGAAGACAUGCGGACGGCGGUCCCGACUCACCCGUCCCAGCCCACCAUCCCCAUGAAGGACCCAGUACCUGAAACAGUGCCUGUCAGAGAAGGCACUUUGUCAAUACAUGCUGAAAUGUGAUCUGAUGAAGCAGAGUGCACUACACCAAACACUUGGAAACCUGGCCCCUGGUCUGCUCUGGUUAUACAAGACCCUCACCAACUCCAUUGCUGUUGAAAUGUCUAGAGAGCAAUCAUUUGGGACAGGGUGCUACUAAGUCAAUACACGUGCAAUUAUGCUCAUCACCAGCUGCCUACACACACAGGAAGAAACUGGACACAGAAAUCAUGGCACAGAGUAGCUUACACUGCAAGAUGCUGCUAAUAACUGGUAAAACUAAGAUUAUGCGACACCGGCAGUGAUGGUGAGAAUCUUCGUCAUAAAAUUCACUACACGGGGUUGUGUAGGUAAAAUGAAAUAAUGCAAAUUAAAGCAAGGCAGGGUUGACAGUAGGCAUUCAUAUUUUUAAAUGCCAAGUAUCUUGGCCUGGAAACGGAGAAUUCGUUCAAAGCCUCCGGUUUUCUGCAGGAACCUGAUCAGCAGAGACAUCCGCACCGUUUUGAGGUUCUAUGGAAGGCUCCUACUUAGUUGGAAGCAAUUGCAGCUGGUGGAGUAGGAGGCCGCUUCCAGCAGGGCUUGGGUUCCCGGGGUCUCUGAGCACGCAGAGACCGGGUCCGCCCUGCCCCACGCCGCUUCCGGCGGGGUUGACAGUUUUCCCUGGGAGCCCCGCCCUGGGCGAAGGCUCGGGUUUCCAUUAGUGAAGUUGGGGGACAGAGCUGUGUCUCUGGUUCUUAACCUAUGGAUCCCGCAGUUUUUUCGGCUGGAAUAAUCGGGAGGUGAGAAACAAUGGAAAAGAAAUGAUUCCUGGGAUUGGAGAGAAGGCUCAGCAGUUAAGAGCACUUGCUGUUCUUGCAGAAGACCAAGGUUCAGUUCUCAGUACCCACAUGGCAGCUCAUAACCACUAUCUCAAGGGAUAUGACAUCCUCUUUAGGCCCCUGUGGACACUGUAUGCAUGUGGUACAUAUACAUGUUUUCAGGCAAAGCUUUCACACAUACA
rnacentral:lncRNA from 1 species